UUCUCAGCCGCCGCCAUGACGACUGCGUCCCCCUCGCACAUGCGCCAGAACUACCACCAGGACUCGGAGACCGCCAUCAACCGCCAGAUAACCUGGAGCUCUACGCCUCCGACGUCUACCUGUCCAUGUCUUACUACUUUGACCGCGAUGAUGUGGCUUUGAAGAACUUUGCCGGAUAUUUUCUUCACCAAUCUCAUGAGGAGAGGGAACAUGCUGAGAAACUGAUGAAGCUGCAGAACCAACGAGGUGGCUGAAUCUUCCUUCAGGAUAUCGAGAAACCAGACCGUGAUGAUCGGGAGAACGGGCUGAAUGCAAUGGAGUGUGCAUUACACUUGGAAAAGAGCGUGAAUCAGUCACUACUGGAACUGCACAAACUGGCCACUGAUAAAAAUGACUCCCAUUUGUGUGACUUCAUUGAGACUCAUUACCUGAAUGAGCAGGUGAAAUCCAUCAAAGAAUUGGGUGACCACGUAACCAACCUGCGCAAGAUGGGGGCUCCCGAAUCUGGCAUGGCAGAGUAUCUCUUUGACAAGCACACCUUGGGAAACAGUGAUAGUGAGAGCUAAGCCGUAGGCUGUCUUCCCAUAGCCACAAGGAUAGGAUGACUUCCCUGGUCACCAAGGCAGUGCAUGCAUGUUGGGGUUACCUUUACCUUUUCUGUAUGUUGUACCUAAACAUCUACUUAACUUCUUUCAUUUGUACCAUUCUUCAAAUAAAGUAAUUUGGUACCC